ACGGAAGGCAGCAGUGAGGAAUAUUGGUCAAUGGGCGAGAGCUUGAACCAGCCAAGUCGCGUGCGGGACGAAGGCCCUACGGGUCGUAAACCGCUUUUAUACGGGAAUAAAGUGCGCCACGCGUGGCGUUUUGCAGGUACCGUAGGAAUAAGGAUCGGCUAACUCCGUGCCAGCAGCCGCGGUAAUACGGAGGAUCCGAGCGUUAUCCGGAUUUAUUGGGUUUAAAGGGUGCGCAGGCGGCCUGCUAAGUCUCCGGUGAAAUGUCAGGGCUCAACCUUGGCACUGCCGGAGAUACUGGCGGGCUUGAGAGUGGCGGACGUCGCCGGAAUGUGUGGUGUAGCGGUGAAAUGCUUAGAUAUGACGAAGAACUCCGAUUGCGAAGGCAGCCUUCUGGAGUGCGAUUGACGCUGAGGCUCGAAAGCGCGGGUAUCAAACAGGAUUAGAUACCCUGGUA
rnacentral:rRNA from 1 species